UGAGCUUGAUCCUGGCUCAGGAUGAACGCUAGCGGCAGGCUUAACACAUGCAAGUCGAGGGGUAGAGCACUUCGGUGCUUGAGACCGGCGCACGGGUGCGUAACGCGUAUGCAAUCUGCCUUUUACAGAGGGAUAGCCCAGAGAAAUUUGGAUUAAUACCUCAUAGUAUUAUAGAAUGGCAUCAUUUUAUAAUUAAAGUCACAACGGUAAAAGAUGAGCAUGCGUCCCAUUAGCUAGUUGGUAAGGUAACGGCUUACCAAGGCAACGAUGGGUAGGGGUCCUGAGAGGGAGAUCCCCCACACUGGUACUGAGACACGGACCAGACUCCUACGGGAGGCAGCAGUGAGGAAUAUUGGACAAUGGGCGCAAGCCUGAUCCAGCCAUGCCGCGUGCAGGAUGACGGUCCUAUGGAUUGUAAACUGCUUUUGUACGAGAAGAAACACUCCUAUGUAUAGGAGCUGACGG
rnacentral:rRNA from 1 species